GAAACAACUACAUGGUUGGGCUUAAAACUAGUAUGUUUGUACAGUGAAAAUGACACUGAACGUUGUGAACACGGGACAUGAACGAACAGCUGACAGUAACGUGAUGCACGGGACAUGAACAGCGGUCUCUUGG